rnacentral:rRNA from 1 species
AGAGUUUGAUCCUGGCUCAGAUUGAACGCUGGCGGCAUGCUUUACACAUGCAAGUCGAACGGUAACAGGGGAGCUUGCUCCCGCUGACGAGUGGCGAACGGGUGAGUAAUGCAUCGGAACGUACCGAGUAAUGGGGGAUAACUAUCCGAAAGGAUGGCUAAUACCGCAUACGAUCUUAGGAUGAAAGUGGGGGACCUUCGGGCCUCACGUUAUUCGAGCGGCCGAUGCCUGAUUAGCUAGUUGGUAGGGUAAAAGCCUACCAAGGCUACGAUCAGUAGCGGGUCUGAGAGGAUGAUCCGCCACACUGGGACUGAGACACGGCCCAGACUCCUACGGGAGGCAGCAGUGGGGAAUUUUGGACAAUGGGGGCAACCCUGAUCCAGCCAUGCCGCGUGUCUGAAGAAGGCCUUCGGGUUGUAAAGGACUUUUGUUAGGGAGGAAAAUUUAUCCAUUAAUACUGGGUAAAGCUGACAGUACCUAAAGAAUAAGCACCGGCUAACUACGUGCCAGCAGCCGCGGUAAUACGUAGGGUGCAAGCGUUAAUCGGAAUUACUGGGCGUAAAGCGAGCGCAGGCGGUUUGUUAAGUCAGAUGUGAAAGCCCCGAGCUCAACUU